rnacentral:rRNA from 1 species
CCCUUAGAUGUUCUGGGCCGCACGCGCGCUACACUGAUGCAUUCAACGAGUUUUGUUUGUUCCUUGGCCGAGAGGCCUGGGCAAUCUUUUGAACUUGCAUCGUGAUAGGGAUAGAUUAUUGCAAUUAUUAAUCUUGAACGAGGAAUUCCUAGUAAACGCAGAUCAUCAAUCUGCAUUGAUUACGUCCCUGCCCUUUGUACACACCGCCCGUCGCUCCUACCGAUUGAAUGGUCCGGUGAAGCGUUCGGACCGUGGCCUUUGGACGGUUCGCCGUCUGUUGGCUGCGGGAAGUUCGUUAAACCUUAUCAUUUAGAGGAAGGAGAAGUCGUAACA